GUGUGGCAUCAGCACACACAUGCCAAAAUUGGAAAGACACAGGGGUUAGCUUGGCCCCUGUGCAAGGGUGACAUGAACAUUUGUAAAGCAUUUCAUAUUAAA